rnacentral:lncRNA from 1 species
UUGACGCAUUUUUUGCGUAUCAUCUUUUUUCGUAGUAAAAAUAUGGUUCUAGAUUACUCUUGAGUCUCGACUAAAUAUGGUAAACGUAUCAUGGUCGCUAUAUUCUAAAUUGAGAUAGUUCAACUACGAUUCAUAAAACUCAUUAAUCUAAAAGGCAAAAUGAAAAAAAAAAAAAAAAAAAAAAAAAGAACCAACGGGGACAAGUCGAUAAGUGAUAUUUCGGUCGCUCUUUAUUUUCAUUUUUGUUUCCUGCCGAC